rnacentral:tRNA from 1 species
GCUUUCAUAGCUCAUUUGGUUAGAGCACCCGUUUAGUAAGCGGAAGGUCUUGAGUUCAAAUCUCAAUGAAAGCA